rnacentral:rRNA from 1 species
GAUGAACGCUGGCGGCGUGCCUAAUACAUGCAAGUCGAGCGAACAGACGAGGAGCUUGCUCCUCUGACGUUAGCGGCGGACGGGUGAGUAACACGUGGAUAACCUACCUAUAGACUGGGAUAACUUCGGGAAACCGGAGCUAAUACCGGAUAAUAUAUUGAACCGCAUGGUUCAAUAGUGAAAGACGGUUUUGCUGUCACUUAUAGAUGGAUCCGCGCCGCAUUAGCUAGUUGGUAAGUUAACGGCUUACCAAGGCAACGAUGCGUAGCCGACCUGAGAGGGUGAUCGGCCACACUGGAACUGAGACACGGUCCAGACUCCUACGGGAGGCAGCAGUAGGGAAUCUUCCGCAAUGGGCGAAAGCUUGACGGAGCAACGCCGCGUGAGUGAUGAAGGUCUUCGGAUCGUAAAACUCUGUUAUUAGGGAAGAACAAAUGUGUAAGUAACUAUGCACGUCUUGACGGUACCUAAUCAGAAAGCCACGGCUAACUACGUG